GUGCCACUAUGCCUGGCCCAGUACUUUUUAAGAAGCUGGCACAGAAGGGUAAAGGAACUCUCCAUAAAACCCAGAAAGGAGGGCAUACACCACCUCUUAUGAUCCUGUCUGGAGUCACAGAU